UACGUAGGUUGCGAGCGUUGUCCGGAUUUACUGGGCGUAAAGCGCGGGCAGGCGGAUCCGAAAGUCCACGGUGAAAGCUCCCGGCUCAACUGGGAGAGGCCCGUGGAAACUCCGGAUCUUGAAGGCAGGAGAGGCAAAUGGAAUUUCCGGUGUAGCGGUAAAAUGCGUAGAUACCGGAAGGAACACCAGUGGCGAAGGCGAUUUGCUGGCCUGUUCUUGACGCUCAGGCGCGAAAGCUAGGGGAGCGACCGGG
rnacentral:rRNA from 1 species